rnacentral:rRNA from 1 species
AAAGGCUCAUUAAAUCAGUUAUGGUUCCUUAGAUCGUACCCACAUUUACUUGGAUAACUGUGGUAAUUCUAGAGCUAAUACAUGCAAACAGAGUUCCGACCGGAGACGGGAGGAAUGCUUUUAUUAGAUCAAAACCAAUCGGCGUCGGGCGCGUUCGCGCGUCCGUUCGCCGCUCAACUUGGUGACUCUGAAUAACUUUCGGCUGAUCGCACGGUCUCGCACCGGCGACGCAUCUUUCAAAUGUCUGCCUUAUCAACUGUCGAUGGUAGGUUCUGCGCCUACCAUGGUCGUAACGGGUAACGGGGAAUCAGGGUUCGAUUCCGGAGAGGGAGCCUGAGAAACGGCUACCACAUCCAAGGAAGGCAGCAGGCGCGCAAAUUACCCACUCCCGGCACGGGGAGGUAGUGACGAAAAAUAACGAUACGGGACUCAUCCGAGGCCCCGUAAUCGGAAUGAGUACACUUUAAAUCCUUUAACGAGGAUCAAUUGGAGGGCAAGUCUGGUGCCAGCAGCCGCGGUAAUUCCAGCUCCAAUAGCGUA